UAGCGAUACAAUAGUGGCGCACGGGUGCGUAACACGUAUGCAACCUACCUUAUAGACGGGGAUAGCCUUUGGAAACGGAGAUUAAUACCCGAUAGUACUAUUGACUGGCAUCAGUUAAUAUUUAAAGAUUUAUCGCUAUAAGCUGGGCAUGCGUCCAAUUAGUUAGUUGGUUAGGUAACGGCUGACCAAGACGAUGAUUGGUAGGGGAACUGAGAGGUUAAUCCCCCACACUGGCACUGAGAUACGGGCCAGACUCCUACGGGAGGCAGCAGUAGGGAAUAUUGGGCAAUGGAGGCAACUCUGACCCAGCCAUGCCGCGUGCAGGAUGAAGGCGUUAUGCGUUGUAAACUGCUUUUAUAUAGGAAGAAACAGACCUUGCGAGGUAAUUUGACGGUACUAUAUGAAUAAGCACCGGCUAACUCCGUGCCAGCAGCCGCGGUAAUACGGAGGGUGCAAGCGUUGUCCGGAUUUAUUGGGUUUAAAGGGUGCGUAGGCGGUUUAUUAAGUCAGUGGUGAAAGACGGUCGCUCAACGAUUGCAGUGCCAUUGAUACUGGUAGACUUGAGUGAGAUUGAGGUAGCUGGAAUGGAUAGUGUAGCGGUGAAAUGCAUAGAUAUUAUCCAGAACACCAAUUGCGUAGGCAAGUUACUAAGUCUCAACUGACGCCGAGGCACGAAAGUGUGGGUAUCAAACAGGAUUAGAUACCCUGGUAGUCC
rnacentral:rRNA from 1 species